UUAAAAACCAGGUGUCAGUGGCCUACUAAGGAGUUAAAUAGCACAGCUGGUGUUUGCCAAACUUAUUUUGUCACAUGGCUUGCCUCUCACGUGACUCACACUUUGUUCCCAAUCUGAAUUCGUGGCAUCCCUGCAGGAAUGAAUUCCCACACCCUAUAUUGAAAAACAAGAGGAGGUUUCUGCUUCUGCUUCAUCUAAGUUGUGGAGACGCUCCCGGGAGGAGGACUAGGUGUCAGCUUUGCUUACAGGAGAGAAUGCAGCAAAGCGCUGAGAACGCCGAGGCAGAGGCCUGCCCAGAGUCAGAUCAGGAAGAUGCUUCCCCUCUGCUCAACCAACAGUUAUCACUUGGGAAAGGCCUCUGCUCAGCUCGCUACAGCCUGGCUCUCAUCCUGCACUUCUCCCUCUUCAUGGUGUAUUCACUCCGGGUCAAUCUCAGUAUCGCCAUCGUAGCCAUGACGAACGGCACCAACCCGGGCAGCCUGCCCAAUAUCUCCACGGACGUGUGUCCCAAUCGCUCCCACGCUCAGCCCAAUGACUCCCACCGAGAAUUCGCCCAAGAAGCCCCCGUGUACGACUGGAGCGCUAAGACCCAGGGCGUCAUCCUCAGUGCCUUCUUCUACGGCUACCUCUUCACCCAGCUCCUCGGCGGAUACUGGUCGGGAAUGUUCGGAGGGAAGCUAGUGUUGGGCUACGGGCUGCUCUCUACCUCGGCUCUCACCCUUCUCGUGCCGCUGGCAGCUAGCCUGGGAGCAGCGUACCUCAUUGGGCUGCAGGCACUGCUGGGCAUGGCAGAGGGAGUGAUAUUUCCAGCCCAAUACACGCUUUGGGCAAAAUGGGCUCCCCCCUUGGAACGCAGCAGGCUCAUGAACCUCGCUGAAGCUGGAUGCACUUUCGGGACCUUCAUCACCUUCCCUGCAGCUGGGAUCAUCUGCCAGUACCUGGGGUGGCCUUACAUCUUCUUCAUCUUCGGUGGCAUUGGCUGCGUUUGGUGUGUGUUCUGGUUCCUUCUCGUUUAUGAAGAUCCUUCAUGUCACCCUCGUAUUAGUGCUGGCGAGAAGGAGUACAUUGUGUCAUCACUGGCUAAUCAGGGCAGCUCUCACGGACGCUCCCUUCCACUUCUGGCCAUGAUGAAAUCACUGCCUCUUUGGGCCAUCGCAGUCGCCUAUUUCUGCAAUGACUGGCUGUUCUACACGCUGCUGACGUCAAUGCCAACGUACAUGAGUGACGUGCUCCACUUUGACAUCAGAGAGAAUGGGCUUCUCUCUGCACUUCCUUACGUUGGGAACUGGCUGGGUACCAUCGUGUCGGGGCUGUUGGCAGACUUCCUCCUGUCCAAGCACAUGUUCAGCACAGCAACGGUUCGGAAGCUCUUCUCGGUGCUGGGGAUGUUGCUCCCAGCCAUCUCCCUGGUGGCCGUGUCCUACGUCGGCUGCGAUUACACAGCAGCUGUGGUCUUUCUGACAUUGUCCAUGACAGUAAUCAGCAUGUGUGGGGCUGGCUUCAACAUUAACCAGAUCGACAUUGCUCCCAGAUACGCUGGGUUUCUGCUGGGAGUCACAAACACCUUCGGAACGGUCUCAGGAAUAAUUGCUCCCACUGCAGUUGGGUUCCUCACCAGCCAGGACCUCCUGACUGGCUGGAGGAAUGUCUUCUUCGUGUCAGCGGCCCUAAAUCUCUUUGGCCUGCUGUUCUAUGUAACCUUUGGCAGUGGAACUAUCCAGGACUGGGCUAGAGAGGACACUGCUCUCCAAUGAAAUGCCCAGGCAUGCUGCCAGGAGAAGAAUAUAUGUAACCAAGGCAGGAGGUGGAAAACACCCAAGUGAACAUAGAUUAGUCAAGAAAUCCCAUUUCUUGUUCCAGCACUGGAUACCCAAAUAACAUGAGCCAUUUGUUUUCCCAACCCGCACACUCAACUCUUGAAUCUGUGCCCUUUUCUCACAUCCUUCCUCAGCCUUCGCUUGACCCAAAGCACCACUGGAAUGCAUGUGUGUGCGCAAUAGAUUUGGGAGGUAGUGUGUCCUAGUGGAUAAAUCAGCUUGCAGCUCAGACCUGGGUUCUGUUCCCAGCUCUGCCUCUGGCCUGCUGAGUGACCUUGGGGAAGUUACUGUCCCUCUCUGUGCCUCAGUUUCCCCCAUCUGUAAAAUGGGGCUAAUGACACUACCCUCCUCUGUAGAGUGCUUUGAGAUCAGUUGAUGAAAAGUGCGGGGUAUCAUUAGGCAUUAGGUAUAUAUGGGUGCCUGAGCCCCAGUCUGGGGGAGGGUGAAGGCUUUGGCUUCAGGCUCUGGCCAGGUUAAUAGGGAAUGUACAGAAGUGAGGUAUUUUAGAGUGUGACUAGCCAUAAUGGGCCAUCCAGCGGAAGAGGUGGAGUCGAGGAGCAUUCAUGUAUUAAAUUGGAUGGUCCUCUGCAAUCUAGCAGGCCCUGCCUAAGGACAUUAAGCACUACUGGAAUAACAGCUGCUAGGUCCUUGUUCAAUGAUUAUACCAGCUGAUCUGUAGUAGCUACAAGUGGUUGUAGCAGGGGGAAUGCCCCUUUAACUGCUCGGAGAUGGGGGGCAAGUCAGCCCUCUUCAGUUAGCCCUGCUACACCUGUGCCAGGUGUGGGAGGGACUUAGAAGGACGAAGCCUAGCAGCUGAGGUCUGGAACUGACUGAUGCCUGCCAGAGGCCCUUGGCUGGAAGGUGGACCAGGAGCUGGGGUUAGAUUGGCUGUUGCUGCUGGGACCCCACCUAUAAAGAGCCAAAGAUUCUUUUGAUGUUGUUUUUGGAUGAGGCCAAAGGGGCCUGGUAGGAAGGCCAGGUCACAUCUACAACAGGAGAAGGCCAAAGACCUUGUGGGGAAAUCAAGGCAAAGUGGCUGUGAUGCCCCACUACCUCAGGAGGGGAGCUCUGCAAUGAUUUACUUAAUCCAGCACAGUUGAAUGAUGGCUUGUAGCAAAAGCUGCAGUUUAAGAUUCAUCGGGAAGUUAUAAUUAGAUUGAAACUGGGGAUCACCAACCUUCUUGACAGCCUUGUCUGCCUCACGUCACAAACAGCAAAGCGACCUGCCAGAAGAGGAACGCCAUUAGACUGGCCAGGUGUUCUAGGUCAUGCACGGACUGCAGUGUUGGAAUAACAGCUUGAAGUAAGUGUUUUGCUACCCAUGCUAUGGAAACUUUGAGGCUUGAGGGGGCUGUCUGAAAAGUUAUUUGCAGAAGUAGAUGGAGAAAUGAUCCCUUACUGGUUACCUUCCCCCUGCACUAUACACAGGAAAUCUUUGCAUUCCUACAACCAAAUACUAGUAUUAAAGUUUUUAAAAAGGGAAAGUAAUCAAGAGAUUUUACCAAGAGGUGGGUACUCUGAGAAACUCUCCACACACAUGGGUUUGCCAGGGAUCAUCGGAACGAAGGCGGCAUCUCCAGACUUGGAGUUAUAGUCACAUCACGAGUGAGUUGUGGUUAAAUUCAUAUUUUAGUGCCAUCCUCCAAAUGGGGAUGUGGCUGCAUCCAGCCCUCCCUGCUCUCCUGCAUUGAGAGGAUCUGAGCCUGAUCCAGCUCUUUAUUCAUGCAAAUAGUCCAUUGGCUUUAUGGGAUUGGGAUGGUGCCUGGACACUGGAUCUAGUUGUUGUUGUUGUAGGAUGUACUGGGUACAUGGGCCCACAGUGUUUACUUCAAUAAAUCAAAGUAAACAAGUAGUAAAAAUCAGGAUCUUGGAUAGGGCAUCCAGGUGCCACCAUAAAACCAAUAACAGACCUAGGAUCAUGAGAGAAAUAGCUGUCUGGGCGAUUGCACAAUGUCAAUCCCAUUCCCAUAGAAAUGUCUAAGGAUUCGGGGUCUCCCUGUGGGGCUCUGGAGUCCCCCUGUCGCUUGCAGAACUGAAGUUUAAUUCAGGAAAGAAGGAUUUUCUCCCCCCUUGGGGCUGUGAAGGUCCCCUCAGCCUGUAACUGAGUUUGCUGGGAGCGGAAAACAAAACAAUAGCACCUUUUAAAUGAUGCUGUUGAUGUUUGAGUUCACGCCCCCAGUGAAGUGAACAGCCCCAUUCAACUCAAUGGGGCCUGACUGCAAAGAGCCCCAUUUCAACAGUUAACUCUUUCCCGCUGCUGAUCACCUUGCCGUGGCUGAAGCAGCCAGCUAAUGUGUUUCUCCAGUGCAGGGGCUUGUUCCAUGUACAGGGCUGCAAAGGUUAAAUGUAUAAUCCUUGCCUGGUGUGAGAUGUGUGAUUUUUGGGGGACUGGCUGUCACAUGGAACUGAACCAUUCCUGAUAGAAUAAGUGUCCUGAUUCCCAGCCAGUAUCCAAAUAUUUGUCCCUGUUGUAAUAUUAUUAUUAGCUGGUUGUCUGGCCAGUUCCCACCCCAGCUCCACCCUCUGCAGGAGAUCAGAACUGUCUCUAAACUCCAAGGCUUGGCCCAUCUCGAUGCACAAUGGAAACUAGUAGGUGUGCAAAUUUCUCCCCAGCCCCACUUUCACUUGGUUCUGCCACUGUCCCUCCAGUCCUGACCUAAAGACUCCUGCCCCACGUCCAGCUAUGCAAUUCAUUUCUGGCCCACAGCACCCAGCUCUUCCAAUACCCCCGUUAUCCUGAUCUGUACCAUCUCUUACUAUUGCAGUCUGACCCCUCCCAUCUUCUGUCACUGCACCCCCAAUCCCACCCUCUAGUGCCUACUGCUGUUCCAAUCCUAGUUCUGCGUACAUGGCUUUGACAGGAGAGCCAGCAAGUCAGACCUCUACAAGCAGCUGGAGCCAGGGCCACCAGGACCAACCUCCUUGUGCUUUAUGCAACCCCCGUGUUUUCAGGAGGCAUUUGUAAAAGCCAAUGGAGGUCCUAUUGCUAUAGGAGACACUUGUGGGUGUUGAUUGUGGUGUGAGACAGUCCCUGCUAAUCCUGUACAGAAAUGAUGGGCUCAAGGCAAAAAAUCAUUGGGUGGAAUUCUGUGGCCUGUGUACACAGGAGGUCAGACUAGAUGAUCACAAUCAUCUCUUCUGGCCUGGGAGUCUAGGUAUCUACAACUCCUAGAUCAGGCACUGUGUCAAGGGACAAUAUACCCCCUAAACCAUGCUGCUGCAGGAAGGGAUUGCUUCAAAAAUAACUUUCACAUUUUAAAGAGGCAGAGAAUUAAAUGCCAGCCUGAGUGACACUGCCU